rnacentral:lncRNA from 1 species
CAUAAGGGACAGUGAUUAACUUCAUUUAGUCUGGAGGUGGGACCGUGGCCAGAAAGGCUUCCAAGAAGGAGUGACACCUGGGCUGGGUUUUAAAGGAUGAGCAGGAGUUCAUUAUGUGCACCAGAAAUAGAUCUUGGCAUUCCAGGCAACGGAAGAGCCUGAAUGUGUCCUGACUUCUUGCUUAGCAAAAUUGGAUCACCCUGCACUUUGGGAGGCCGAGGCGGGCGGAUCACGAGGUCAGGAGAUCGAGACCAUCCCAGCUAAAACGCCUGAUUAUAGUAACUGGCUCUGAAUUGCUGCUUCUGCUCAACUUCCUGGAUGCUAGCAGUACCCAGGGAUGUAAAGACCUUUCAACUAGAGCUCAUAGGUUCACAGAUGCAGAGGAAUUUUGCCUCAGGAUGAAUUGCAUCUUCAGUCUCACCCAAACCUGAUUUAGAUAAUAUUUCAAUGAGACUUCGGACUUCAGACUUUACAGUUGAUGCUGCAACCAAACAAGAAGAUGGCCAUCUGCAAACCAGGAAGAGAGCCCUCAUCAGACACUGGAUCUGCCAGCACCUUGAUCCUGGACUUCACAGCCUCCAGAACUGUGAGAAAUACAUAUAUGUUUUUUAAAGCACCCAGUCUGUGGCAUUUUGUUGUAGCAACCUGAGCUAAAACAGUUGCUAUUGAACUCUGUUCAGAGCUCCAGAUGUCCUGUGCUGGCACUGGGCAGGGUGCUCUCCUGGGCCAUUUCAUCAGCUCAGAGGCCUCACCUUCCACCAUAUGCUGAAGACCUCAAAUCUACAUCACAGUGAGACCUCCCCUGAGGUCUAGGCUAUUAAGUUGUAAGAUCUAUAAAAGCUUUCAUCACCUCACUUCCCUACUGGCCUUUACUCACCCUUCAAAAUGAUAAUUGUGUUAGUCAUUGAAAGAUGUGGCUGGGAUGAGAGUUCAGUUUACAGACUCUGCAGCUGGACUGCCUGGGUUCUGCCCUGGUUCCACCAUUAACUAGCUGGUAUCCAUGGACAAAUUGGUAUCUUCUCGGUGCCUCAGCUCCCUCUUUUCUAGAAUGAGGGGUAAUGACAGUGUCUCCCUCAUAGAUUGGAUGUGAGGAUUAGAUGAGUUUAACAGAUGUAAAGUACUUACAACAGUUCCUGGCACAUAAUAAGCUCUUACUAUAUCAGGAACUAGCUUAUUCUGUGCUUGUUAGUGUUUUAAUUUAAUUCUUAGAGUAGCCCGAUGAGGCUUUGAGAGAACUUGCCCAGUUCCAGAGCUUAAGCUCUCAACUCCGUGCUGUUUUCUUGUCUUAAGGCAUAAACACUGUUGAGCCUUGGCCGAUUCCUGGCAGAGCCAGGCGCUCCCUCCUCCAUGUUGUCACCCUACUCCAGGCUUGCUCACCCUACUGUGGGCUUGUGCAUCAGCUCUCCACAGCUGCUUCUCACCUGUAAAAAAUCAGGCUUCGUUUGUCUCAUUCUUGCCAUAGAAUGCCUUGUCCAAUUAUAUGCAAGCUUAGUACAUGUUGUUAAAUAAAAGAUUCAAUAAACGAAUUCAUAAAC